UCUCUCUUUCUCUCUCGCUAUUUUUGUCUCAACAACUUGGUAAACUCGCUCUCCACACUUUCUGCGCAAUUCUUACCCUUACUGUUUUUCUUUCUUUUCUUUUGUUCUUUCUUGAUGAAUACUACGUUGAAGGAAGGCUGAAUCUUUGAUUCUGGAGAAGAAAUCAUGGUUUUGGAGAACAUGUUCAAUUUACAAGGUGCAAUACAAAAGAUUCUUCAAUUUCGGACAGAAUGGCUGCAACUAGACUCGUCUUGUUUGUGGGAGCAUGCCAGCAUCGUUGUGCAACUCGGUUUCUAUGCAAUAAUUUUAGUACAUCUAGCACGAAAUUUUCCAGGC